UUACCAUAAACCACAGAGUUCUGCAGUACAAGUGGCCAAAAUCGUAGCCGUCACUAUUGUCCUGGUGUCUUUCGUGCUCGGUAGUUUCCUGCUAGCUUCUGCCUACGUCACAGCUAACGCUUCCUGUAGGCAGCUGGAGCAAGACCUCGAGCUGCUGAGCGAGGUAGCUGACAAAUUCGACGGACAGAAUCAGGGACCACUUCAACCAGAAGCUUUAAUCCAGGAAGAACCAACGGCUAAAACUGGCAAUAAACGCCAAGUCGACGCCUUGAAGAAAGAGGCUUCAAAGACCAAAGAGAUU